CUAGCGACAAUAAACCCUGAGCCUCGGUAUGAAACAGUUCUAAUAUGUAUUUUUGGUGGAGAAGUGAAACGGAACUAUUUCAGUAACCUCCUUACCUAGAAACGCAACUUUCGGAUCACCUAGGUUACCAAGCAGCUGGGGAAGAACUAAUUGGACCAUCAACUUGCAGCAAGGCAAGGAUUGGAAAGGAGUCUGGAAUACAGGCAAUUAUCCCAGAUGCGUUUAUGCCAUAACUGCCACAUGAAAAAAUGAGUCUCUUUUGUCUCUCUGGAACCUUCUGUCUAAUCAACAGACUCCAGUAUCCCAGCAUUGCUGCAAAGCCUGCAAUGAAAUCCGCAGGAGGGUGGGUGUGUGAUCCGCACAAGAAGCGUUUGGAUGAAUAUUUUGACCCAUUAACAUUUCCACCGGGAGGAUGUAAGGGGAUAGAUUUACAUGAGUCCGGAAUCUAUUGCGCAACAAGGCUGGAGACAGUGAAGGAAUGUUCUUGCUUGUCUGACUUUUAUCCAUACCUCACAACCUCUGAGGAUGCCUGCCAUAGAUGUGGGCGAAACGUCAGGAGAGAAUACUUCUGGAACAUGGCCACACAGCCCGAAAGACAUACAACAACCCUGUGAUCCCAGCCAUGAAAGCCUUCGACAACACAACAAGUCAUAUAUUUUUAAAAAUAUAAAUGAAAGACUUUAUGAGAUAGGUUGUGCCCCCAUACAUUUCAUUACUACAACAUAUGUGUCUGUAUGUGUUAUAAAGGGUGGGUUUAACUCCUAGUUUGCUAGUAAAACUGAAUUACUGUGUCACGAAAGGAUGCAUGUAUAAAAAUGAUAUCUCACCAACAUGAAAUGUUGGAAAGCUCUGCUCUAUGUGAAAUGCCUUCAUUUACAUAUAUUUUUCACACCCUCUGCUCUUAUAAUUGUAUGCUAAUUUUUUUGGAAGCUUUGCAACCAAAAUAGGCAAUGUAUCAAUUUUGUAUUAUAUAUAAUAAAAAGUAUUUUGCAUAUAAGCAAUGGAAAAUGUUGUGUGUUAAUGCAAAGAAUACUUGAUGCUAUAAAUAUCAUGUUCAGGUUUGUAAUCUUUGGCUAACUUGUUUGAAGGUUACCUCCAAGUUGACUACUUUUUGCAUAUUAUCUAAUAAAAGCUGUGACUGAUUUCCAAAUUUGGGUGUGAUUUAUUCGAUCUUAUAUUGGAUAAUCCAUGUCCUAACCUGACAUUACUCAAAGAAAUACAGUUUUGUUCUGAAUCCUUCCAAAAAGAACUGUACGUAAUGUACACAUUCUUUCUGAAAUGAUUACAUGCAGUGAAUUUCCCCCCAUUGUGGUCUCUUCAAGUUUGGGCCUACAAACUUUUGGGCAUGGGAUGAUCCUGAAUUGUUGCCAAUGCAGUUUAAUAGAAAUUUGUUGAGGCCUGUAAAUCCUCUGAAGAUGAGGAUUUUCUGGUUGAGCCUGGUGUUUCUGUGGGGAAAAGUGAUAGUGUUUUUCAAGACUAUGGGAAUAUUUCAGAUAGAUCUGUCAGUACUUUUGAGGCGGGAGGUUAAGGAACCCCAGGAAAUACCAUAUAUGGGCAGAGAUGGCGACAGCUAGCGACCCGGGUGCAUAAACUCACAGAAACAUGUGACUUCUGGGAAAUCAUGUGUUUCUGAAGAAAUGAAAGCUAAAGAUAAACAAACAGCGCAUGCGUACGCAGGCGCUCUGAAGGAUUGUGAGCACGGCACAAAAAAGAGUGCAGCCGGCCUGCUGGUCAGCACUGAUUGGGCAGCGUCACAACUCUAAGCCAAUGAAUUUGCUUGUGGGCGGGCAUAACCCGAACCCUGUAGUGUGUAUAAAUGUUUACUCAGCCUGCCACUGGGGGUUCCCCUGGAGAAGCACUUACUUUGUGUUAGGGGGAACCCUAGUGGCCAUUAGCGAAAUAAAACUGUUUUCUUGGAAUUCC